rnacentral:tRNA from 1 species
AUAUAAAUAGUGUACGGAGCACCUAGAGAUUUGACCUCUAUAGAAAGGUUCAAUUCCUUUUUAUAUA